rnacentral:rRNA from 1 species
CACGUAGGGCGCAAGCGUUGUCCGGAAUUACUGGGCGUAAAGGGCGCGUAGGCGGCCUUCUAAGUCGAACGUGAAAUCCCCGGGCUCAACCCGGGAACUGCGUCCGAUACUGGGAGGCUUGAAUCCGGGAGAGGGAUGUGGAAUUCCAGGUGUAGCGGUGAAAUGCGUAGAUAUCUGGAGGAACACCGGUGGCGAAGGCGGCAUCCUGGACCGGUAUUGACGCUGAGGCGCGAAAGCCAGGGGAGCAAACGGG